GAAAAAUUUGUCAUCCAGUGCACAGCUCCUGCCUUUCUUCUCUGCUCUCAAUGUGAGGUGUAGCGGACAGUUUUAUUCGGAAGGAGAAUACGGAGCGCACUCUAAAGGGGAAGACACAGCUCUGAUCUUGUACCUGUGGUUCCUGGUCGUGACCGCUGGGAUCCCUCUCGUAGCUCUCUGCAUACAGUCUGAUGGUGGCCCGCACACCACUGGAGGAACUGAGCCGGAAUAUGAGCCGUGAUGCAUCCGAGAAAAUGAUCCUCAGGCCCUGAGACCAAGAAUAUCCCAAAUGGCUCAAUUAACAGGACUUACACCUCCCAUGGAUGAGAAGAGAUUUCUCAAAGCUCCGCGUUUU